UCGGCCUGACAUAGCACUGCUGGCCGACGCUCGCCUCUCACCUGCUGGCUCUCUCGUCAUGCUGCUACCGACUUUGCUGGUUUUAGUUGCUUUUUUAAUUUUUUCAUAGUCAUAUUUUUCAAUGCUUCUGUUAACUGUUAAAAAAAGUUCUUUUGUUUGCAUUCGUGUUCUUUUUUUCUGAUAUGGACUCCCACAAGGAAGAAUUUUGAAUGUGGGACGUUCUUCUUCUUUUGUAUUUAUUUAUUUAUCUUUUAAGAAAACUUCGAAGAAGUCUGUGGCGAGAAUGGCACACUGACUAGCGUUCGUGUGAGAAUAAGUGUACUUCCUCCCGCUGUCCAAAGGGAGCGCACUCCAAAGAUCUGGUGCUGACUGCUUGUAACAGCAACUCCAUGUGGAAGUUUUUUUUUUCUUCCAGUGGAGCUGCUGUUGCGUGCAGAUAGUGACCUUUAUCUCCUUUGGUUCUGCGUGAAAAUACAGUUCUACUUAAUUAUCUGGAUUUCAUUUGUGUGGCUGUAAAUCCUAAUGCAUGUUAAUAGAAAGCAUGUUUAACUCAGGGUCUAGGACACCGGGUGAUGACCUAUGAAUUGACAGCCAGUGUUUGCAGUCCAGCUGCCUGUCAGUUCUGUAGGCCACUGUCCUGUUUAUCCUACUAAACACACACUGAUUUGCACAGAGAAUGCAGGGCAUUUUAGAAAUGUUGGACUAGAAUUUUUUGAGGAACAUCUAUGCAUUAAUGUAGCUGUUAUUGUUUCAUAUUAUAUUUAUUUGUUUUCAUUUUACUGUAUUUAAUGUCAUGUAAACAUUACAUUAUUUCAAAAUGCAUUUUUUUAUAUUAAAUAAAUGUGACUUUUACAGUAUAUAUAAUUA